CCUACGGGAGACAGCAGUGGGGAAUAUUGCACAAUGGGGGAAACCCUGAUGCAGCGACGCCGCGUGAAGGAAGAAGUAUUUCGGUAUGUAAACUUCUAUCAGCAGGGAAGAAAAUGACGGUACCUGACUAAGAAGCCCCGGCUAACUACGUGCCAGCAGCCGCGGGAAUACGUAGGGGGCAAGCGUUAUCCGGAUUUACUGGGGGGAAAGGGGGCGUAGGCGGUUUAGCAAGUCAGAAGGGAAAGCCCGGGGCUCAAAUCCGGGACUGCUUUUGAAACUGUUGAACUAGAUGGCAGGAGAGGUAAGUGGAAUUCCUAGUGUAGCGGUGAAAUGCGUAGAUAUUAGGAGGAACACCAGUGGCGAAGGCGGCUUACUGGACUGUAAAUGACGCUGAGGCUCGAAAGCGUGGGGAGCAAACAGGAUUAGAUACCCUAGUAGUC
rnacentral:rRNA from 1 species